rnacentral:rRNA from 1 species
AGUUUGAUCCUGGCUCAGAACGAACGCUGGCGGCAGGCUUAACACAUGCAAGUCGAACGCAUCGCAAGAUGAGUGGCAGACGGGUGAGUAACGCGUGGGAACAUACCCUUUUCUACGGAAUAGCUCUGGGAAACUGGAAUUAAUACCGUAUACGCCCUACGGGGGAAAGAUUUAUCGGGGAAGGAUUGGCCCGCGUUGGAUUAGCUAGUUGGUGGGGUAAAGGCCUACCAAGGCGACGAUCCAUAGCUGGUCUGAGAGGAUGAUCAGCCACAUUGGGACUGAGACACGGCCCAAACUCCUACGGGAGGCAGCAGUGGGGAAUAUUGGACAAUGGGCGCAAGCCUGAUCCAGCCAUGCCGCGUGAGUGAUGAAGGCCUUAGGGUUGUAAAGCUCUUUCACCGGUGAAGAUAAUGACGGUAACCGGAGAAGAAGCCCCGGCUAACUCCGUGCCAGCAGCCGCGGUAA